AGAGUUUGAUCCUGGCUCAGGAUGAACGCUGGCGGCGUGCCUAAUACAUGCAAGUCGAGCGAACGGACGAGAAGCUUGCUUNAUAAAAUGUAUAAUUAAUUCUUGUCGGUAAGAAAAAUGAACAUUGAAAACUGAAUGACAAUAUGUCAACGUUAAUUCCAAAAAACGUAACUAUAAGUUACAAACAUUAUUUAGUAUUUAUGAGCUAAUCAAACAUCAUAAUUUUUAUGGAGAGUUUGAUCCUGGCUCAGGAUGAACGCUGGCGGCGUGCCUAAUACAUGCAAGUCGAGCGAACGGACGAGAAGCUUGCUUCUCUGAUGUUAGCGGCGGACGGGUGAGUAACACGUGGAUAACCUACCUAUAAGACUGGGAUAACUUCGGGAAACCGGAGCUAAUACCGGAUAAUAUUUUGAACCGCAUGGUUCAAAAGUGAAAGACGGUCUUGCUGUCACUUAUAGAUGGAUCCGCGCUGCAUUAGCUAGUUGGUAAGGUAACGGCUUACCAAGGCAACGAUGCAUAGCCGACCUGAGAGGGUGAUCGGCCACACUGGAACUGAGACACGGUCCAGACUCCUACGGGAGGCAGCAGUAGGGAAUCUUCCGCAAUGGGCGAAAGCCUGACGGAGCAACGCCGCGUGAGUGAUGAAGGUCUUCGGAUCGUAAAACUCUGUUAUUAGGGAAGAACAUAUGUGUAAGUAACUGUGCACAUCUUGACGGUACCUAAUCAGAAAGCCACGGCUAACUACGUGCCAGCAGCCGCGGUAAUACGUAGGUGGCAAGCGUUAUCCGGAAUUAUUGGGCGUAAAGCGCGCGUAGGCGGUUUUUUAAGUCUGAUGUGAAAGCCCACGGCUCAACCGUGGAGGGUCAUUGGAAACUGGAAAACUUGAGUGCAGAAGAGGAAAGUGGAAUUCCAUGUGUAGCGGUGAAAUGCGCAGAGAUAUGGAGGAACACCAGUGGCGAAGGCGACUUUCUGGUCUGUAACUGACGCUGAUGUGCGAAAGCGUGGGGAUCAAACAGGAUUAGAUACCCUGGUAGUCCACGCCGUAAACGAUGAGUGCUAAGUGUUAGGGGGUUUCCGCCCCUUAGUGCUGCAGCUAACGCAUUAAGCACUCCGCCUGGGGAGUACGACCGCAAGGUUGAAACUCAAAGGAAUUGACGGGGACCCGCACAAGCGGUGGAGCAUGUGGUUUAAUUCGAAGCAACGCGAAGAACCUUACCAAAUCUUGACAUCCUUUGACAACUCUAGAGAUAGAGCCUUCCCCUUCGGGGGACAAAGUGACAGGUGGUGCAUGGUUGUCGUCAGCUCGUGUCGUGAGAUGUUGGGUUAAGUCCCGCAACGAGCGCAACCCUUAAGCUUAGUUGCCAUCAUUAAGUUGGGCACUCUAAGUUGACUGCCGGUGACAAACCGGAGGAAGGUGGGGAUGACGUCAAAUCAUCAUGCCCCUUAUGAUUUGGGCUACACACGUGCUACAAUGGACAAUACAAAGGGCAGCGAAACCGCGAGGUCAAGCAAAUCCCAUAAAGUUGUUCUCAGUUCGGAUUGUAGUCUGCAACUCGACUACAUGAAGCUGGAAUCGCUAGUAAUCGUAGAUCAGCAUGCUACGGUGAAUACGUUCCCGGGUCUUGUACACACCGCCCGUCACACCACGAGAGUUUGUAACACCCGAAGCCGGUGGAGUAACCUUUUAGGAGCUAGCCGUCGAAGGUGGGACAAAUGAUUGGGGUGAAGUCGUAACAAGGUAGCCGUAUCGGAAGGUGCGGCUGGAUCACCU
rnacentral:rRNA from 1 species